GACGAACGCUGGCGGCGUGCUUAACACAUGCAAGUCGAACGGAAAGGCCCCGCUGUUGUUGGGUGUUCGAGUGGCCAACGGGCAAGUAACCUGUGAGUAACCUGCCCUUGACUUUGUGAUGAUUUCACGAUACAUGGGGUAAUAGCGGAUAGGAACAUCUGCUGCAUGGUGGGGGUUGGAAAGGUUGGGCGGUUGGGGAUGUACUCGCGGCUUAUCAGCUUGUUGGUGGGGUAGUGGCUUACCAAGGCUUUGACGGGUAGCCGGCCUGAGAGGGUGACCGGCCACAUUGGGACUGAGAUACGGCCCAGACUCCUACGGGAGGCAGCAGUGGGGAAUAUUGCACAAUGGGCGGAAGCCUGAUGCAGCAACGCCGCGUGCGGGAUGACGGCCUUCGGGUUGUAAACCGCUUUCGCCUGUGACGAAGCGUGAGUGACGGUAAUGGGUAAAGAAGCACCGGCUAACUACGUG
rnacentral:rRNA from 1 species